GACGAACGCUGGCGGCGUGCUUAACACAUGCAAGUCGAACGGAAAGGCCCUGCUUUUGUGGGGUGCUCGAGUGGCGAACGGGUGAGUAACACGUGAGUAACCUGCCCUUAACUUUGGGAUUACUUCAGGAAACUGGGGCUAAUACCGGAUAGGAGCUCCUGCUGCAUGGUGGGGGUUGGAAAGUUUCGGCGGUUGGGGAUGGACUCGCGGCUUAUCAGCUUGUUGGUGGGGUAGUGGCUUACCAAGGCUUUGACGGGUAGCCGGCCUGAGAGGGUGACCGGCCACAUUGGGACUGAGAUACGGCCCAGACUCCUACGGGAGGCAGCAGUGGGGAAUAUUGCACAAUGGGCGGAAGCCUGAUGCAGCAACGCCGCGUGCGGGAUGACGGCCUUCGGGUUGUAAACCGCUUUCGCCUGUGACGAAGCGUGAGUGACGGUAAUGGGUAAAGAAGCACCGGCUAACUACGUG
rnacentral:rRNA from 1 species